rnacentral:lncRNA from 1 species
GAAGAGUGAGGCUGAGAGGGGUGGGUGGCACACAGGAGGACGAUGUGUGGGUGUGGGCAGAGAGGAGCAGCCUGGUAGCACACAGGGAAGGAAGAGGCAGAGGGGAGUGGAGCCAGCACUGAAGGUGAGCUCAUGGAGCAGAUGAGUAUUGAGGAGGGAGGGGGAGGAGAGGUGGUAGAUGGAUAGGAGUAUCCAGGAAAAGACAGUUGUCAGGCCCAGUGUCUAUGCAGGAUGAGAGUGCAUGAAUGUGCUGGGAUGUUGACGGGCAUAUGUGGGAUAGGAGUGAUGGCAGAAGGUAAAAGCAAGUGGGGACAGGAAUGUGGUAGGAAAAUUAGAGGCAUAUGUACAUUUGAGAGCGUUUUUAGAAGAGUAUGAAAGAAAGGACAUGAAGUGGAAGGACACUUGAAAGGUUACAGGCAGCCAUUGUUGUUGGAGCCAGAAAAAAACACACAUCUUGGAGACAGAGACAUGAGCACGAGCUACCAAGUAGAGCAUGUGAAGUUGGUACACUGUGUGUAAUGGUAGGAGGAAUGAAUAGUUUGACUCGUCAGGAGCUGCCAACAGAUCAAAGAAUAGUACACACUAGAAAGGACUGCUGAAUGACUGGACAAAUCACAGAUGGAAGCUAAAAGAAUUACAGAUGGGGAAGGUGACAGUACUUUGCUAUGCAGUCAAAGAGGAAAGCAGGAGAAAUGAUCAUACAAUUGUGCACUGGGAAAGAAGGUGCGGAAUUUACAAACCAUGGAAAGCAUAAAAGGGGCAGUGAUUCAGUGGACAAGAAUGAGAAAGAUCAGAAGGAGCCUAGUGGUCAAGGGAUAAGAGGUGGUUGAAAAGACCAGAGAAGGCACUGUGCCAUUAGAGCCACCACAAGGACAAUAUAGGACAGAAUUAAUGUGGGGAAUUCAGAGCCUGUUCCCUGCAAAUGGGGCAAAGUAUGAGGGAAGUCCACUGAGAAGACAGAUCAUGACAUGGAUAGAAAAGCCAGGAAUGAAAAAUAGAUAGGAGGGGCCUAAAGGGAAUGAGUUUGUAGUAGUCAUGGCACCUAGCAAAGGCUGGGAUCACUAUGUCAUCAAAGAGUAUGCUGAGGAGCUGGGGUAGAGCUCAGUAGUAGAGCUUGACUAGCAUAUGUGAGGCACUGGGUUUGAUUCUCAGAACCACAUAUAAAUAAAUAUAGGGGUCCAUUGACAACUUAAAAAAAAAAAGCAUGAUAAGAUGAACAGAAAUCAGGGGGAACAACUCUAAGAGAGGAGAUGACUGUCACCAAAAUAGUGCAAACAAGAAGCUAAGAUGGUUAGGAGUGAAUUCAGAAGCAGAUGGACUCAGUAGAGCACCCUGGGAACAAAGAAGCUGGCAAUGGUGGCAGCAGUAAGGACAGGUCAGGAAGGAAAUAGACAUGGAAGAAAAGACUCCUGAGCCCAUGGAAUGACUGUGAGGUGGCAGGAGAAGUAUGAAAACUGGAUGAUGAAGCGGAAGCAGAAGAUCCCUGGAAAACCAAAGUGGGAGAAAAUGCAGGGGAUGGCCUAGUAAUGGUUAAAUUCACAUCAAUGGUGGAAAGAGAGACACAGGAUUUGGGCUGCCACGGGAAGGUGGUAUGUGGGACAUGUCCUGUUUUAGGGGAAUUAACAGGAAAAGAAAGGGAUAGGAGGCACUUUGAUAAUGAGUGAAUGUUAUGUUUGUGGUGGCACCAGCAUGGGAUGGGGGGUAGGGAGACUGCAGAGUUCUGAAAUUUGGCAUAUUGGCAGAUUUCAUGGAUAAGGAGGUGAGGUGAGCAUUAUCAAGGCCAGACCUCAGAAGUAGAGCAGAGAAGAGAAGCAAACCACAGGUGUUUUCAGAGUAGGCGUAUGAUGGAAGUAAAGCAAAGGGCCAAAGUGACUUGGGUAAUAUGAUGGUAAACUGGCAACUAUAUUAAUUAAGACAGGUGCUGUACAUAUAGCACUGCAGGUACCUCAGGGACAUGGGGUGGUCCCAUGCAGAGUGAGUCCAGUAUAUGGAAGAAAAAGUUUCCAAAUAGCAGAGGAACAGCUGGGAACCAAUGCGGAACAGGCAUUUCGCAGUGACCACUGAAUCUGUUCUUCUGCUGUUCAGGGGUGGCUAAAAGGAGAGAGGUAUACCAUGCAACAGAGACUCUGCAGGGACACAGUGAAGCUAGGAAUGGAAGGAACCUUCCAACCCAGUGAGUUUCACAGGCUUAGGGGAGACAGAAAGGAAGGCAGUGAAAUAGUAGUACACAGUAGAGGAAGGCCCUGAGAGGAAGAGAGGAAGGCCCUGAGAGGAAGAGAGGAAGGCCCUGUGGGGAGCUUAAGUAUUCAAUUGCCAGGCUUCUUUCUUGGGGGCUUGAUCUAGAGAUAAAAGAGGAGGAAGGCAGAUUAGAUUGGAAAGUGGUACCUGUGGAAGAAGAGGGUCUUAAAAUGUGACCAUGCAUGUUGUGAAGAUAUUACAGUGUUGAUAGAGAAGGAAACGGGAGAACAAGAUGACCUCAAAUGGGUGGUGAGAGGCAAUCACAAUGGGCUUCAGUCACUUUAUGGGGCCCUUCUGUGGAGAAAUGGAAGUAAGAGAUGAGAAGAAAGGAAGAUUAGCAAGAAGUGCAGGAGUGGCUGUAGGGUGUUGUGUCAGUCUAUUAUGGAAAGGGAAGAGAAAGGAGGAGAAAGGUUGCCAUGCAAGAAUUGAAGGAAAGGCCACCUAAGGGACUGUUCCAUGAAUGGAAGAUCUGGACUAAUGAAAGUGAAUGGCUGCAGGAGAGAGGGAGGGAGGAAUGGAAAGUUUCUGUGGCCAGAGCAGGUCUAGGGAGGAAGAAGACUCUGGAGAACAGAGGAGUGAAUGUUAUGACAUGGCAGGCAUUAGAUCAUUAAAUACAGGCUGCAAAGGUGAGGUAGGAAGCCUGACCUUGGCCAGGAAGAUAAAGAGAAGAAGCAGGUCACAAAUGAAUGCAGCAAAUAAGGAUGUGACUGCAGAAGGCCCCCACAGAAUGAUGGAGAGUAGGGUAGCAGGGAGACAGGCUGGACAGCAACAGAGGGAACAAGGAGAAGAGUGCUCUCAGAGGUGAAAUGGAGGCACUUAGAGUGCUCAGGUCAGCCUGUAAGGCUUGGCUUGGGGAAGGGAAAGCAGAACAGGGUGGACAGCAACAGGCAAGGGGAAAUGUCUGAAAUUUUAGGCCAGGCUCUUUACUACGGAUCCG